GAUGAACGCUGGCGGUCUGCUUAACACAUGCAAGUCGAACGAACUCUUCGGAGUGAGUGGCGGACGGGUGAGUAACGCGUGAGAAUCUGCCUGUGGGUCGGGGACAACCACUGGAAACGGUGGCUAAUACCGGAUGAGCCGAAAGGUAAAGAUUUAUUGCCCACAGAUGAGCUCGCGUCUGAUUAGCUAGUUGGUAAGGUAAAAGCGUACCAAGGCGACGAUCAGUAGCUGGUCUGAGAGGAUGAGCAGCCACACUGGGACUGAGACACGGCCCAGACUCCUACGGGAGGCAGCAGUGGGAAUUUUCCGCAAUGGGCGAAAGCCUGACGGAGCAAUACCGCGUGUAGGAAGAAGGCCCUAGGGUUGUAAACUACUGUCGUCGGGGAAGAAUAAUGACGGUACCCGAAAAGGAAGCACCGGCUAACUCUGUGCCAGCAGCCGCGGUAAU
rnacentral:rRNA from 1 species